UGUUUCUUGGUAUAAAGUAUAGACUUUGGGACCUCCAAUCAUGGACUAUUUUUAAAUCUUUGUGAACUCUUCCAUAGGUGUACUUAGACACAACAUGUUUGAGGUUUCUAAAAAAAGUAUAUAAAUCAAUGUUGAGGGAGUUAUUAUAUGAGCAAAAAUGUCUAGACAAAGACAGAACUGUGAAUUCCACUCUCAACUCAACAGUUACAUUUAAGUAAUGCAGGACAAGGGCUUCUUUCUGAAAGCAUGGGCACCAACAACCAGUAGGAUGCUUCUGAAAAUAAGUUACUCCAAGAUGUGGGUGUAGGGAUAUCUAAAAACAUUAAGAUCCCACAUAAAAGAUCAGUACUACACCCUCCUUGCACACAGUGCCAUUCAUGGUGCAAUGGCAGGGUAUAUAGGCUUGACAUUUGGCCCUGUUAACGAACACAUGCUUACAUACCAUUCCAUGUAAGUUUCUAUGUUUGGAAAGAAAUUUCGUAUCUUCCUUUCAUCAUAUUUAGCUGUUUCUGUGGUCUAUAUGUAUGUGUAGCCCUACUGCAUGGAUGCAAUUUUGAAAUUAUGCUUGCUACAAGAUU